UGUUACUGCCCUGUGGUUUUCUGUCAGUUGCAAAAGAGCAACCUGAGCCCAUAACACAAACCCAAACAAGGAAGUCUAAAAGACUGCAGUCAAGUGCAACAAAAAGAGGUGCUGGACAUGAAGUUCCAGAGGAUUCGCUGCUGGACAGCGAGGAUGAAGAUGUGGAGUAUUAUUACUAUCCUCCAACAAAGAUGGUGACUGAUGUUGGAACCCGAAACGAUGAUGAACAGGACAGAGACAUGCAAAUUGGAUCUGAAGACCAAGUGUUGGACACAAAUGAACUUGCCAGUGAGAGAACAGAAACUGACAAUACAGAACAGGAUGUGACAAACGAACAUGUUUCAGUGCCAUCACUUAAUCCUGAAGCUUCACCAUUUGAGCCACAAGAGCCAAAAGAGACCAUAUCAGAAGAGCAGCAGCUCAAGGGUGAGUUAACCCAGUCACCCACACCUCGAAUGUCCAUCCAACCACCAGACCAUGUCAUAAUAGAUAUUGGCAACCCUGAAACAUCUGAAACUGUUAUCCCUAUUGGAACGGACAACCAUGAAGGGAAUGUUGAAGUAAGGAGAUCAACAAGAGAGAGAACCCAUCCCAAGAGACUCACCUACCCAUCCUUAGGAAACCCACUUGUGGUGGUUAUGCAGUCUUUACUUGGUGGCUUAGACAACGCACUGCAAAUAGCCCUUGAAUGUGACUUUUAUGCCCCUGUAUUUGAUGCUUAGGAGAUGUUGACAUGCAGGGACGCAUGCAAUUAAUGGGGGGGAGGAUGUAACCCACAUGUAUAUGUGUGGUACUGUUAGUGGUAUUUUAUUUCUGUAGGAUUUUGUUUUGUUAUUUAAUGUUCCCAGCAAUUUAGUUAUAUUUUCAUUUUGAGUUUUCUUGUCAUACCAGAAACCGCCAGCAGGUGGCUUGUGAGUUACACUCUGGUUUAGACAGCAGGAAACUAUUAGAAGAAGAAGAAAACCGUAGCUGGCUGUAGCACGUUGUGCGAAUUACCGCAUGCUAUAAGAUAAAUUCUUGAUUAAUUCCGGUAACGGUUAAGAGAAAAGAAGAUCCGUGACCUGAUCCCUGGCAGUAAAACACAUUUUUACUGUGAUUUUCUCUGGUGAGUGUUGUAACGUGUUUUUGCAACCGAAAUUAAGCUAAUGCUAACUGGCGUCAUAGGCAUUACUGCUCAUAUAUUCCAACAAGGAAGAACAGAGAAACGUAAAUAAAACCAAUCGGAGAAACGUGUGAGAUUAAAAUGAUGAUUUUCACUGUAUUGCAUUUUUGUUAUGUACAAACUAAGAGGUUGGAUACAGUGUGAUACGUUUGUUUUGCAAGCUUGCCAUUAGUUGAAUAUUAUUUUUGUGAUAAAUGGAAUUUAUUGCUUCCUGCAUACUUUUGAAACUUAAUAGUUAAUUAAGUUCUAUAUAUAUGCAGGUUGGUUUUUUUUAGAACCCCAUUCAACUUUGAAGACUGUCCAGCUGCAUAGCAUCGCAGGCCUGGAUUGGAUUGCUGAGCUCCAGGUUUCAACCCAAGACCUGGGACUGCUGGAUCCGCUGCCUACUUUGCACUGGAUAAGAUAAGAUUUUGGAUCCAAAGAAACACAUGACCUUUUAACAAAGACUUGACUGACUGACUUAAAUUACUGAACUAAGAAAACAAAACUUCCAAAGGACAAACUGAACUAUAAGGAAUCUGAACCAAAAGAAAAUACACUGCCUGAUAAAAAAAGGUGGACACUUUAUGUUGGAACAAAAAAAACUGUACCGUAAUAUUCUGUUUCAAGUUGUAUUAAAUAAUCUGUUCAUUCUUGAUAAUAUGGUUGUUUGUGCUUAUUAUCCUCCUUUUUGAACUUAGAAAGAUAGACUAACUGUAACUUCAACAUUGAAAUCUAAGUUUCUCAACUUAUCUAUUCGUAAGUUACACUAGUUGGUUACAGGAUCAAAGGGUAAAAGUCAAA